GGGUUGUGAGGUUAAGCGACUAAGCGUACACGGUGGAUGCCCUGGCAGUCAGAGGCGAUGAAGGACGUGCUAAUCUGCGAAAAGCGUCGGUAAGGUGAUAUGAACCGUUAUAACCGGCGAUGUCCGAAUGGGGAAACCCAGUGUGAUUCGUCACACUAUCGUUAACUGAAUACAUAGGUUAACGAGGCGAACCGGGGGAACUGAAACAUCUAAGUACCCCGAGGAAAAGAAAUCAACCGAGAUUCCCCCAGUAGCGGCGAGCGAACGGGGAGCAGCCCAGAGUCUGAAUCAGCUUGUGUGUUAGUGGAACGGUCUGGAAAGUCCGACGGUACAGGGUGAUAGUCCCGUACACCAAAAUGCACAGGUUGUGAACUCGAAGAGUAGGGCGGGACACGUGGUAUCCUGUCUGAAUAUGGGGGGACCAUCCUCCAAGGCUAAAUACUCCUGACUGACCGAUAGUGAACCAGUACCGUGAGGGAAAGGCGAAAAGAACCCCGGCGAGGGGAGUGAAAAAGAACCUGAAACCGUGUACGUACAAGCAGUGGGAGCACCUUCGGGUGUGACUGCGUACCUUUUGUAUAAUGGGUCAGCGACUUAUAUUCUGUAGCAAGGUUAACCGUAUAGGGGAGCCGCAGGGAAACCGAGUCUUAACUGGGCGUUAAGUUGCAGGGUAUAGACCCGAAACCCGGUGAUCUAGCCAUGGGCAGGUUGAAGGUUGGGUAACACUAACUGGAGGACCGAACCGACUAAUGUUGAAAAAUUAGCGGAUGACUUGUGGCUGGGGGUGAAAGGCCAAUCAAACCGGGAGAUAGCUGGUUCUCCCCGAAAGCUAUUUAGGUAGCGCCUCGUGAACUCAUCUUCGGGGGUAGAGCACUGUUUCGGCUAGGGGGUCAUCCCGACUUACCAACCCGAUGCAAACUACGAAUACCGAAGAAUGUUAUCACGGGAGACACACGGCGGGUGCUAACGUCCGUCGUGAAGAGGGAAACAACCCAGACCGCCAGCUAAGGUCCCAAAGUCAUGGUUAAGUGGGAAACGAUGUGGGAAGGCACAGACAGCCAGGAUGUUGGCUUAGAAGCAGCCAUCAUUUAAAGAAAGCGUAAUAGCUCACUGGUCGAGUCGGCCUGCGCGGAAGAUGUAACGGGGCUAAACCAUGCACCGAAGCUGCGGCAGCGACACUAUGUGUUGUUGGGUAGGGGAGCGUUCUGUAAGCCUGCGAAGGUGUGCUGUGAGGCAUGCUGGAGGUAUCAGAAGUGCGAAUGCUGACAUAAGUAACGAUAAAGCGGGUGAAAAGCCCGCUCGCCGGAAGACCAAGGGUUCCUGUCCAACGUUAAUCGGGGCAGGGUGAGUCGACCCCUAAGGCGAGGCCGAAAGGCGUAGUCGAUGGGAAACAGGUUAAUAUUCCUGUACUUGGUGUUACUGCGAAGGGGGGACGGAGAAGGCUAUGUUAGCCGGGCGACGGUUGUCCCGGUUUAAGCAUGUAGGCUGGUUGUCCAGGCAAAUCCGGAUAAUCAAGGCUGAGGUGUGAUGACGAGGCACUACGGUGCUGAAGUAACAAAUGCCCUGCUUCCAGGAAAAGCCUCUAAGCAUCAGGUAACAUCAAAUCGUACCCCAAACCGACACAGGUGGUCAGGUAGAGAAUACCAAGGCGCUUGAGAGAACUCGGGUGAAGGAACUAGGCAAAAUGGUGCCGUAACUUCGGGAGAAGGCACGCUGGUGUGUAGGUGAAGUCCCUGCGGAUGGAGCUGAGACCAGUCGAAGAUACCAGCUGGCUGCAACUGUUUAUUAAAAACACAGCACUGUGCAAACACGAAAGUGGACGUAUACGGUGUGACGCCUGCCCGGUGCCGGAAGGUUAAUUGAUGGGGUUAUCCGUAAGGAGAAGCUCUUGAUCGAAGCCCCGGUAAACGGCGGCCGUAACUAUAACGGUCCUAAGGUAGCGAAAUUCCUUGUCGGGUAAGUUCCGACCUGCACGAAUGGCGUAAUGAUGGCCAGGCUGUCUCCACCCGAGACUCAGUGAAAUUGAACUCGCUGUGAAGAUGCAGUGUACCCGCGGCAAGACGGAAAGACCCCGUGAACCUUUACUAUAGCUUGACACUGAACAUUGAGCCUUGAUGUGUAGGAUAGGUGGGAGGCUUUGAAGCGUGGACGCCAGUCUGCGUGGAGCCAACCUUGAAAUACCACCCUUUAAUGUUUGAUGUUCUAACGUUGGCCCCUUACCGGGGUUGCGGACAGUGUCUGGUGGGUAGUUUGACUGGGGCGGUCUCCUCCCAAAGCGUAACGGAGGAGCACGAAGGUUAGCUAAUCCUGGUCGGACAUCAGGAGGUUAGUGCAAUGGCAUAAGCUAGCUUGACUGCGAGCGUGACGGCGCGAGCAGGUGCGAAAGCAGGUCAUAGUGAUCCGGUGGUUCUGAAUGGAAGGGCCAUCGCUCAACGGAUAAAAGGUACUCCGGGGAUAACAGGCUGAUACCGCCCAAGAGUUCAUAUCGACGGCGGUGUUUGGCACCUCGAUGUCGGCUCAUCACAUCCUGGGGCUGAAGUAGGUCCCAAGGGUAUGGCUGUUCGCCAUUUAAAGUGGUACGCGAGCUGGGUUUAGAACGUCGUGAGACAGUUCGGUCCCUAUCUGCCGUGGGCGCUGGAGAAUUGAGGGGGGCUGCUCCUAGUACGAGAGGACCGGAGUGGACGCAUCACUGGUGUUCGGGUUGUCAUGCCAAUGGCACUGCCCGGUAGCUAAAUGCGGAAGAGAUAAGUGCUGAAAGCAUCUAAGCACGAAACUUGCCCCGAGAUGAGUUCUCCCUGAGACUUUAAGUCUCCUGAAGGAACGUU
rnacentral:rRNA from 1 species